rnacentral:miRNA from 1 species
ACUUUUAAAAUCAGCUAUUUCAGAACCGAUUUUGUAUGUAGUAUAUAUACAAAAUCGGUUCUUAAACAACCAAUUUUAAAAGU